GGGGAGGUUCCUGAGCGGUUAAAGGGGACGGACUGUAAAUCCGUUGGCACAGCCUUCACAGGUUCGAAUCCUGUUCUCCCCACCA
rnacentral:tRNA from 1 species